CGCACGACGACCUAUCUCCACCUCGAGCGCAUCUCCACGAUCCAGUGCGCCGCCGCGGCCGGCCCCCGCCCCUCUGCCGCGCGUCACCACCGCCGGCCACCUCCCCUCCGCCGUGCGCUGCCCCCCUCCACCGCCAUCAUCGGCCACCGCCCCUCCGUCGUGCUCCGCCCCACCCCUUCGGCUUCAGUGGAUCCGCACCGCCGCCGCCCUUCCUCUCCACCGUCACCCGUGCCUGCCCGCGCUCAUCCAUCGCCGCGUUAAGGCUUCAGUGACCACGGCGCCUCGGCUGCGACCCAGGCCUGCUUGGCCGCCGGAUGGAUGGAUACCGGCCGAGCUCGUCCUUGGCGCCCCGGCUGCGACCCAUGGUUGAUUGGCCGCCGGCUGGAAGGGGACGUCUCCUCCUGACUAAGCUUGAUGUGGGACUGACAGCCUGGUGUGUGCGGCCUGCGGACGGCAACGACGCAUCUUCUCUUAUCGUCCUCAUGCUCUCUGCCCUUAAUUUGUUAUCCUAUCUCUCUGAUUAUUGGCUACAUGCGCAGGUGUUUGAGGCAGGACCGCAUGAGCAGUGACUUGCAUCCAGUAGGAGGAAGCAAGAAGCAGCAACGACUCUGAGCUAGCUGCUAGCAAUGCACCCCCUCCCCUCUCAUCUCGGGAGCAUCAGGCAACAACCUGUUUGAUGUUAUGCAUACGACGGAUUGAGAUACAGUAUAAUUUUCAUGUCAAACUCUUACCUCUGUUUAGAAAAUCAAUAUGAAGAAACAGGUGUAUCUGAUGUACGAUCUGCACUUAAGAACAAGUGUACCAGUUGUUCCAAGCUGCCGGACGACCAAAGAGUCAGUGAGAGUCAACAAUCCAUUUGAUUUCGUGGGGAUUAUUCAGUAAAAUGCGAUCUACACUGAAGCCAAUCCGAUCCAGGUGAAACAGAGGUUGGUAGAUUAUUCCUGCAACGGGGCUUCUGCUUGUGCGGCUCUGCAUACCGAGCGUUCAAAGUAGGAAAACAGACUCGGCGUGGCGGCCGCUCCCCAUUUCCCUGCGUCGUCCAGAUUUGUUCCGGCUGGGUGCCACCCUGGCGGCCAAGAGUGUGCUAUCCCACGGAAGCAGGCCCCUCCUCUGUACUUUUACAACAUAUCCAGUUAUGGUUCCAUUGUUAUCGCACACCAAACGUUCAAUGAAUUUCUUCAAGAAAAUGAAUGGAUUAUUUUGUUGUGUGCUUCAACCAGGUAAAAUCCUAUUGGUUGUUCUAAUUAUACAAUCUUCUGAGCCAGUGAGCAGAAGUAAUUGCUGAUGUAAGUGUGGCAACUAAUUUUGUUUACAACUGUCAUUACUAAUUCUAUUAAAUCUGAAUUUCAUUGGUGAAGCACGGUUGGAAAAGAAAAGUCAUGGAUAAAGCUUGGUAAUUCCCAGUGAAGAGUUUCUGCUAAUCCAUCAGCUAAUGCUAAUAUAGACAGAUUCUAUGUAGUCAGGACUUGGUACUUGGACCUUCAUAAGAUGGCGCAAGGGGAGCUAUGGGGAUAGAUUGACAACAAUAUUUGCAAGCAGGAAAUUAAAGUACAAAAACUACUUCGUAUCGCCUUGGCUAUAAGAACGCCUGGACUCCCUCAGCCGAAACCCAUGUUCAAUUGCUUUCCAUGCCUGACAUUGUUGUCGCCGUUUUGCCGAUUUCGGCAGAAUCUCGUCGUUCGACUUCGCCAGAAUUCUGUCUGCCUGUUCUCCACCCAUGGUACAUGGUUCAGUGCCUUCUGUAGAUUGAUGUUCUAUUCUCCACCCAUGGUUGCAAUCACGACGAGCAACAAAUGUAUGCACUGAACUACUGGAGUAAGGUAGUGAAAUACUUCUUGCUUGCGUGAGUGGAAUUUUCGAACAGAGGAAGAACAUACAACAGAGUGUAUGCACUACAGGAAUGGCACAAUAUUCUCAUGGCAGAAUGGGGAUGGGGCACUAUGUGACCCAACAACUGUUCUACCAGCAGGGUUGAUGGCAUUCUAUGGCAAUACCAAGAAUCCAAACAUCAUCCCCGAAGUGAUCCGUGGUGCUCAGUGAUACACUUCAAUGGAAACAUGAAGCCGUGGCUUGAUGUCGCUCUCAACCAGUACAGGGCUAUAUGGACUAAGCAUGUAGAGACUAGAAUGGAAUUCUUGACACUGUAACUUUGCUUUCUGAAGUAAUUUAAGAAAUCGUCCAAGAAUAAGUCAUCCGCCAAUAUAUUGAUUGUGGGAAAAUGAGUGAACUAUUAUUUUUAUCUGUUAUGGAUGAACAUAUGUGUACUAUUUGUAGCAAACAUCUCUCCAACUGGAAGGAAAAUAUUGGUGUUUGCUCCA